UACAGAGGGUGCAAGCGUUAAUCGGAAUUACUGGGCGUAAAGGGUGCGUAGGUGGUUAAUUAAGUCAGAUGUGAAAUCCCCAGGCUUAACCUGGGAAUUGCAUUUGAAACUGAAUGACUAGAGUAUGGUAGAGGGAAGUGGAAUUUCCGGUGUAGCGGUGAAAUGCGUAGAUAUCGGAAGGAACAUCAGUGGCGAAGGCGACUUCCUGGACCAUUACUGACACUGAGGCACGAAAGCGUGGGGAGCGAACAGG
rnacentral:rRNA from 1 species